rnacentral:lncRNA from 1 species
GCAAAAAACAAAAGUUCUGGAAUAUCUCAGUGAAUCUGUCUGCUGUUUGUUUUGUCUGACUUCUUAGCCUGAGUAGGCUUGUCUUGACAUCCUGCUGCCACAUAUUUAUCACCAGGUCUGGCUGUUUGCAAGUUUCUAAAGGAUUGGCUGAUCCUUGUCUUGCCUUGCAUGAGUCAAAACCUCUUCUUGAAUAAGGGAGCAUCUGCAAAGUGUAUUGUUGUGUCUCAAUUAGACACAGAGAGUCAGUCAGCCUUCCCCAGGUGUGAGCCUGUGCAGUCAGGGACCAGGACACUUCCUGACACAGGUGAGCGGGUCAGCUUUCCCCAGCUGGGAGCCUGUGCCGCCAGGAAUCCACACACUUGCAAAAUGCAGUGAAGGAGCAGGAGUAAGCUGUUCAGUUCCUAUUCAUCUGGGAGAAAUAAUCAGGAAAGGGGUGACUGAUCCCAGCUAUGCUGAGAACCCUGCCACUGUGGCUUUGCGAGGCUUAGUGCGCCAUCUUCACACACAGUUGGAGACUUGGGCUGCAGCUUUUCAGGGCUGCAUGAACACAUUGAUUGGCCUGUACUUCCAAGGUCUCAAAGGAAUCCCCCAUCAAUUUGCUCUCAGCAUCUUGGGAUUUAUACAGCACCCCAGCAAAGCACAAAAUAGCCAAGAUUGUAAAACACUCAGAUGAGGGAGAAAGAUGAGAGCCUUUCACUGGGGUGGGGUGGGGUAGAGCUUCACAUUCGUCUACGAGAGAGUGGGACUGAGAGUGCCAGGGAAAUGUGAAGAGUUCUUUUCUAUUAACAUGUGAAAGAGGAGGAAAUCACAAUACAUGUGAUCAUGUGAUCAUCCCUGAGCAGAACACAGAGCCUGAUUAUUCCACACAAGUGUGAGGAAGAUCCAUUCUGUUUGCAGGAAGAACUAGGACUGCUCACCCUAGGCUGGAUCCAUGUAAGCAAAUCUGACCUCCCCAAGGGCAGGCCUCCUCCCAUCUCUUAGAAGCACAUUGGCCAAGUCUUUCUCUUAGCAGAGUCAAGCCAUUCCAUCUCUUUUGUGUCUGAGCACACAUGACUGCUUGUGUCCCAACGCUGAGGGCUUUAAAACACUUCUAAUCUUCAUCUGUUAUUAAAAGCAAUUCUUCAGCAUUCCAGUUCCCACUGAGGUUAGGGUAAAGGAUAGCUGUCAUAGGACAGACACAGACAUGUGCCUAAAAGCUGUAUAUAUGAAGCAUUUAAAUAAGCCAAGGGAGUUCAUUCUGGUGAUUGCAUUUUUUUCCUUCAGAGAGCAGCACUUGGCUUUGUGCACACCCAAGAGCUCCUCCAUCACCUUUUCCAGUGUUUGCACACACCAUGCACACUUAGGAUGACCUUCAAGGAAACGCAGCUCCUUCCCAAGAGUGCUUCUGGGUGUUUUGUUUCAAGACCUGAAACUCAUAGAACAAGCUGCUGUCUUGGGGUGUCACAGCUAUAGCCACAAUCAGGUGGUUUAUUUCUGCUUUUGGAGAGAUCACAGACAACUGAACUCAGAUCUCAGCAAGUGCUGACCUGGGAGGCAGGCUCCUGUGCCUUCAUCCUUUUCUGUUCCCUUGUAUAAAUCACGACUCUUUGCAU